AUGUGAAUUAGCUGGGGAUUUUGUUGAGAUGCAGGUUCUGAUUCAGUGUAUCUGGAAUAGGGUCCUAGACUCUGCAUUUCCAAGAAACUCUCAGGCAAUGCCAUG
rnacentral:pre_miRNA from 1 species